rnacentral:rRNA from 1 species
UUCCACCGGAGCUUGCUCCACCGGAAAAAGAGGAGUGGCGAACGGGUGAGUAACACGUGGGUAACCUGCCCAUCAGAAGGGGAUAACACUUGGAAACAGGUGCUAAUACCGUAUAACAAUCAAAACCGCAUGGUUUUGAUUUGAAAGGCGCUUUCGGGUGUCGCUGAUGGAUGGACCCGCGGUGCAUUAGCUAGUUGGUGAGGUAACGGCUCACCAAGGCCACGAUGCAUAGCCGACCUGAGAGGGUGAUCGGCCACAUUGGGACUGAGACACGGCCCAAACUCCUACGGGAGGCAGCAGUAGGGAAUCUUCGGCAAUGGACGAAAGUCUGACCGAGCAACGCCGCGUGAGUGAAGAAGGUUUUCGGAUCGUAAAACUCUGUUGUUAGAGAAGAACAAGGAUGAGAGUAACUGUUCAUCCCUUGACGGUAUCUAACCAGAAAGCCACGGCUAACUACGUGCCAGCAGCCGCGGUAAUACGUAGGUGGCAAGCGUUGUCCGGAUUUAUUGGGCGUAAAGCGAGCGCAGGCGGUUUCUUAAGUCUGAUGUGAAAGCCCCCGGC